UCUUCCGCAAUGGGCGAAAGCCUGACGGAGCAACGCCGCGUGAUCGAAUGGAGGCCUUCGGGUUGUAAAGAUCUGUUGACAGGGACGANNAAGCAAUGCGAAUAGUUUUGUGUAUGACGGUACCUGUUUAGAAAGCUCCGGCUAACUACGUGCCAGCAGCCGCGGUAAUACGUAGGGAGCAAGCGUUGUCCGGAAUUACUGGGCGUAAAGGGCGCGUAGGUGGGCGCUUAAGUCAGGUGUGAAAACUCCGGGCUCAACCUGGAGACUGCACUUGAAACUGGGUGUGUUGAGGGCAGGAGAGGAAAGUGGAAUGCCUAGUGUAGCGGUGAAAUGCGUAGAUAUUAGGAGGAACACCAGUGGCGAAGGCGACUUUCUGGACUGUACCUGACGCUGAGGCGCGAAAGCGUGGGUAGCGAACGGGA
rnacentral:rRNA from 1 species